rnacentral:lncRNA from 1 species
CCCCUGGGUGCUAGGGCUGUCUUAGGAACUGGGCUCACUCAGUCACCAAAACAGGCAAAUAUCUCUGCCUUUACUGCCUUUACAGACAAUACGUAUUACUGGUAAUAGGUAUGUAAAUUACAUAGUCUGUUAGAACUGUGGAAAAAAUAAAAUAAGGGUAAGGGGAUUGCCAGUCCUUGUCAAGGAGGCUUCUGGUUUUAAAUGGGCUGGUCAGGGUGACCCUAGGAGACAGGUACCAAUAUUAAGAAAAUGAAGCACAGAGACGUUAAGUAAUUGUUCAAGGCCUGUGAGCCCAGCUGAGUGGAGGAGCUGGGAACGGAAUCCACUGGAACCAUGCACCUCGUCUGCUGCCUCUUGGCACUCAGCCAAACCAGGAGUUUCGGGGAUCGCCUGGGGGUGAAAGGGGGAGGAGAGAGGUGAAGACUUGGUUGUGGAGGGCCUGAUGGUCCAGACCCCAUCACGAGCUUUACUUACCCACAAGGCCCCUCCUCAGACCCCUGGGGCUCGUCCGGCUCAAGGCCCCAAUGUGACAGGAGGGAGAAGCCUGAAGAAGAGAGGGACUUUCCCCAAGUGACGGACGUGUCAACAGCAGAGCUGCACUGGAACCCAGCCUUCCCUCAGCCAGACCACACCUGUAAUUUUGUUUCUGGGCCCAUGCCCAGCAUUUUCUCCUCUCCUGGUCUCUCCCAGUACUCCCUUCAGCCUGGCGCACUCCCCACCUGCCCUGGGAUGUUCUUACUCUCCCCUCAGGUCUCUGUGAUACCACCUCCUCCAGGAAGCCUUCCCUGAACUGUGCCUGCAUGGGGUCUGUGCCUCCUCAGGUUCUCCAUGGCCCCAGUGUGUCCCUCUGUCCCUCACCAGUGACCCGACCUGGCGGGGCCUGUCUCUCUCAGGGAGUGUGGCCUUGAGGGUGGGAACCACAUUCAACUCCCAGUAGGGGGCUGGAGCUGGCUUGUACUAACUUUUGAGAGUUGAUUAAACUUUCAGGAGUUUUAUGAACUGGUUAUUAAAUGCAGCCAUUGUUAAUAAUUAAAUUACAUAAACUUAUAAUUAAAUACAUUUUGUGAAAAAGGGAAAUGCACACCAAAAACUCAUCAUUUCCUAAUUAUUUUACUAUUAUCUAUGCCCAUGAGUUUGUUUACGCCCACCGUUUCUGGUGGUGGAGACACACUAUAUAAUGGUGUUCAGGGACAUCGCGUUGGUGGCUUGAUAUCUGCUGUGGUAGGA